GACGAACGCUGGCGGCGUGCCUAAUACAUGCCAGUAGAACGCUGAAGCUUGGUGCUUGCACCGAGCGGAUGAGUUGCGAACGGGUGAGUAACGCGUAGGUAACCUGCCUGGUAGCGGGGGAUAACUAUUGGAAACGAUAGCUAAUACCGCAUAAGAGUAGAUGUUGCAUGACAUUUGCUUAAAAGGUGCAAUUGCAUCACUACCAGAUGGACCUGCGUUGUAUUAGCUAGUUGGUGAGGUAACGGCUCACCAAGGCAACGAUACAUAGCCGACCUGAGAGGGUGAUCGGCCACACUGGGACUGAGACACGGCCCAGACUCCUACGGGAGGCAGCAGUAGGGGAUCUUCGGCAAUGGACGGAAGUCUGACCGAGCAACGCCGCGUGAGUGAAGAAGGUUUUCGGAUCGUAAAGCUCUGUUGUAAGAGAAGAACGAGUGUGAGAGUGGAAAGUUCACACUGUGACGGUAUCUUACCAGAAAGGGACGGCUAACUACGUG
rnacentral:rRNA from 1 species